rnacentral:rRNA from 1 species
CAUUAAGUUAUAAAGGGCUUAUGGUGGAUGCCUUGGGAUUGGAUGGCGAAGAAGGACGUGCAAAUCUGCGAUAAGCUUCGGGGAGGCGAUAAGGGCCUAUAAUCCGGAGAUUUCCGAAUGGGGGAACCCAGACAGUAGAGAUACUGUUUAUAGUUAAAUGAAUAAAUAGUUUAAUUAAGCGAUACCCAGCGAAGUGAAACAUCUCAGUAGCUGGAGGAAAAGAGAACAAAGUUAUUCCCUUAGUAGUGGCGAGCGAAACGGGAGGAGGGCACAGUUUUUUGAAACUGUAUAAAGUGUAAUAGCGAUAGUAGAAGUAGUUGGAAAGCUACAUCAUAGAGGGUGAUAAUCCCGUAUACGAAAUUUCUAUUACAUCAAAGCGAGUAGGACGGAACACGUGGAAUUUUGUCUGAAGAUGGGGCGACCAUGCUCCAACCCUAAAUACAAACCAAUCACCGAUAGCGUAUAGUACCGUGAGGGAAAGGUGAAAAGAACCCAGAGAUGGGAGUGAAAUAGAUUCUGAAACCAUAUGCCUACAACGAGUAGAAGCACAUUAAAGUGUAACUGCGUGCGUUUUGAAGUAUGAGCCGGAGAGUUAAUUGUUCAUGCAAGGUUAAGUUGUAGAGACGGAGCCGUAGGGAAACCAAGUGUUAAUAGCGCGAUUUAGUAUGAAUAAUUAGACCCGAAACGUGUUGAUCUAGCCAUGGCCAGGUUGAAGUAUAAGUAACAUUAUAUGGAGGACCGAACCGACCUUCGUUGAAAUGCCGGCGGAUGAGUUGUGGCUAGGACAGAAAUUGUAAUCGAAACACGUGAUAGCUGGUUCUCGUCGAUAUAUAUUGACGUAUAGCCUUAGAUUAUUGGGAAUGUGAAGGUAGAGCGCUGACUGACUGAUGGCACCACCUCGGUGUACUGAUUUCAAUCAAACUGCGAAUGUCAUAGAACCUAUUCUAGGAGUCGGACUGUGGGGGAUAAGCUUCAUAGUCGUGAGGGUAAGAGCCCAGAUCAUUAAUUAAGGUCCCUAAAUUAUGCUAAGUGGAAAAGGAUGUUGGAUUUCUUAAACACCAAGGAUGUUGGCUUAGAAGCAGCCAUCGUUUAAAGAGUGCGUAACAGCUCACUUGUCGAGAAAUCCUGCGCCAACAGUUCAACGGGGCUAAAGCAUAAUACCGAAGUUAUGGGUUUAAUUUAUAGUUUACUAUAGAUUAAGCGGUAGACGAGUGUUGUAUACAGCGUUGAAGCUAAACCGUGAGGAUUAGUGGAGUGUAUACAAGUAAGAAUUCCGGUGUGAGUAACGAAUAUAAGUGAGAAUCUUAUAAGCCGAUAGUGCAAGGUUUCCAGGGCAAGGGUCGUCCUCCCUGGGUUAGUCGGAACCUAAGAUGAGGCCGAAAGGCGUAGUCGAUGGAUGACAGGUUAAUAUUCCUGUACUUGGUAUAUGUCUAUGGAGUGACGGAGAAGGUUAGUGCAGUGCUGUUAUUGGAUUCAGCGUUAAGUAUCAAGUGUAUCAGGCAGGCAAAUCCACCUGGUGUUAAGCAUGAGAUAUGAAUAUAUAGGGAAAGCUUCUAGCAAGUACUAAACUGUAUGACAUCAUGCUUCUUAAAAAAACUUCUGAGUUAUCAUAUAUCAAUCCGUACCGAGAACGAACACACGUGCACAUGGUGAGUAACCUAAGGCUUGCGAGUGAACUACUGCUAAGGAACUCUGCAAAAUGACCCCGUAAGUUAGCGAUAAGGGGUGCCCAAUACUUUAUUGGGCCUCAGUAAAGAGUGAGGAGCAACUGUUUAUCAAAAACACAACUUUAUGCUAAAUCGUAAGAUGAUGUAUAUGAGGUGACACCUGCCCAGUGCUGGAAGGUUAAGGAAGUUGGUUAGGGAGCAAUCCCGAAGCUGAUGCCCGAAGCCCCAGUGAACGGCGGCCGUAACUAUAACGGUCCUAAGGUAGCUCGAUUCCUUCUCGGGUAAAUUCCGUGUAUGCGAAAGGUGUAAUGACUUCUUAACUGUCUCGGCAGUAGACUCGGUGAAAUCCUGGUGGGGGUGAAGACGCCUCCUUGGCGCGAUUGGGCGGAAAGACCCCAUGAAGCUUUACUGUAACUUAACAUUGAUUUGUUAUGACAUAUAUAGAGUGUAGGAGGGAGACUUUGAAGUGCUGACGCCAGUUAGCAUGGAGUCAAUUUUGUAACACCUCCUUUAUGUUAUGACUUUUCUUAACUUAUCACAGUUAUCCUGUGAAAGGACAGUGUUAGGCGGGCAGUUUGACUGGGGCGGUCGCCUCCCAAAAGAUAACGGAGGCGCGCAAAGGUACACUCAGCACGGUUGGAAAUCGUGCUACGAGCGUAAUGGUAUAAGUGUGCUUGACUGCGAGACUUACAAGUCGAGCAGGGAAGAAAUUCGGUCAUAGUGAUCUGGUGGUAUUGUAUGGAAAAGCCAUCACCUAUCGGACAAAAGUUACUCUGGGGAUAACAGGCUGAUAGUGUCCAAGAGUUCAUAUCGACGACACUGUUUGGCACCUCGAUGUCGACUCAUCUUAUCCUGGGGCUGUAGCAGGUCCCAAGGGUUCGGCUGUUCGCCGAUUAAAAAGAUACGUGAGUUGGGUUCAAACCGUUGUGAAACAGGUUGGUCCCUACCUGUCGUGCCCGUAAGAAAAUUGAAGAAGUUUGCUCCUAGUACGAGAGGAUCGGAGUGAAGUUACCUCUAAUGUUCCAGUUAUCAUGCCAAUGGUAGUGCUGGGUAGUUACGUAGCGAAUGGAUAAGCGCUGAAAGCAUAUAAGUGUGAAGCCAGUUCUAAGAUAAAUUUUCUCCACCCGCAAGGGUGAUAAGAAUCGUUGUAGACCACGACGUUGAUAGGAUACAUGUGUAAGUGGAGUAAUCCAUUGAGCUGAGUAUUACUAAUAAUUCGAAAGACUUAAGGUG